rnacentral:rRNA from 1 species
CCUACGGGGGGCAGCAGUGGGGAAUAUUGGACAAUGGGGGCAACCCUGAUCCAGCCAUGCCGCGUGUGUGAAGAAGGCCCUCGGGUUGUAAAGCACUUUCAGUGAGGAAGAACGCCUGGUGGUUAAUACCCAUCAGGAAAGACAUCACUCACAGAAGAAGCACCGGCUAACUCCGUGCCAGCAGCCGCGGUAAUACGGAGGGUGCGAGCGUUAAUCGGAAUUACUGGGCGUAAAGCGCGCGUAGGUGGCUUGAUAAGCCGGUUGUGAAAGCCCCGGGCUCAACCUGGGAACGGCAUCCGGAACUGUCAAGCUAGAGUGCAGGAGAGGAAGGUAGAAUUCCCGGUGUAGCGGUGAAAUGCGUAGAGAUCGGGAGGAAUACCAGUGGCGAAGGCGGCCUUCUGGACUGACACUGACACUGAGGUGCGAUAGCGUGGGUAGCAAACAGGAUUAGAUACCCCAGUAGUC